UUGCAGGCCAGUCUCUUCAAACUCUGCUGCUGCCUCACCAACGCCUGAAAUGCCAUACUGCUGUGGGAGAUUUGCAGGAGGUCAAAUGCUCUGCUGAAGUAGAAAACAGACCGCUGGAGAGUAAAGUGUGUCAGUGGAGCAAACAGUAGAAAGUCCUCGACUGAACAAAUUCUGUGCGAGCCAAAUAUUUCUGUAUUUAACGUCUGCUGCUGAGAGCAUACAGACUGGUGCUUUUACAUGCAGUGUACACAUUGAGUCAUAUUUAAUUAGUUCAUUUCAAUGUUUGAAUUUGAGAAAAGGGUAAAAUAUGAGUCAUAGCAGUAAUCCCAAUGAUAAAAUUAACUAAUUAAACAUUGGCUACUGCUAUGAUUUAACUCCACUUGAUGAUUUUAGGUCACAGUCAGUAAAGGCUAAUGCAGUCUGUGAGCACUGACAUAAAAGAUUACAUGCCUGCAGUCCACUUUAUUCACACUCUGCCAUACUGAAUAACUGAUAUCAAAGAGGUUAUGGCAAGCUGAAGACUCUAAUCCUUUCCAGUAAUCUAAAAUUUGUCAUCAAAAGAUCGCUUGAAAACCAAAACAUUCAGAAUGGCAGAGUGAAUAUUUUCAAAAUAAUAGCUAAUAACCAAAGAUUUCCAAAAUAAAUAUCCACCUGUGUUUAUAAAAUAUUAACUUCAGACUUAUUUUAGCACAAUAUUUGAUCUGAAAGUUUAGAAUGACAGCAGACACUAAAUCGUAACUCUGUCUUGUUUUCCUACUCUGUGCUUAUCUUUCCUCGUUCAGUCUUGCUUUCUGUUCUAAGUGGUGCCCAGAUAAAUAGAACAAAUGACACAGUGGGCCCUCACAUGACUCUCCUAGUGUUUUGAUGACAUGUGGGGCCAAACUGUUAAAAUGAAAACAGUGUUAUCUGGCAGACAGGCACGUCAGGACACAAUGUUGACAGAUGCAUUAGAGACAUGGAGAUCCCCAGGCAGCAGACGUCUUAUAGGACAGUGGAGAUAAAAUAAAAAGGGGAAAUAUAAGAGACGGAAAGCUUUCAAGGGAGAGAGCUUUUCUAUGAAGCCAUCCAGAAAAUAAAAAAGGUUGUGCUUCAGUCGGCUGAGAAUAAGGAGAAAUGAAAGGAAAGCUGACAUUGCUUAGUAACAUGCAUGAAUAGGAAUCACUGAUUUCAAACAUCUGGAUGUUAGUAGUGUUAUAAUCUAUGCAAAGUGCUCAUUGUGCCCUGCCAAAUGUUUCUAAAUCUAGUAUCAGGUAGGGGUUGGGUUGACUGGCUUGCAGUAAUGUCACAGUCUUUCCCAAGCAUCAACCAUUACACUAUAUUAUGAGAAUUACUAAGUUAUACUUAAGGAAUUCCUGUGAGGAAACUUGUCCUCUGCAAUUGACCCAGUCUAAUUGUUUUGGCUCUUGGACCAACUUCAGUUUUACUCCACUGCCAGAAGUAUUACCUAACAUGCAAGUUUUUUAUGAUCUGAGAAACUAGAGUGUACGGAGGAAACCCAUGCCAACACAGAGAGAACAUGCAAAGUCCACACAAAAAAGCCACAGUCGAUCCCAUGGAGUUUAAACCCAUGACCUUCUAACUGUGACACAAUUGUGCCCCAUAAACAGAUGUCCAAUUAAACAGCCAGCAUAGUUUAAUGUUUUCCUUCUCUUCAAAGCAAUACUUAAGAUGUGUUGAAAAAUAUGCUUAUUAGGGUUGGGUCGGUUUCCGGUUUUGCUGGUCCGAUCCGGUUCGGUGUACAAGCUUAAACCGGUUUGAUUUUAUGUGAACUGACUGAACCGGUAUUUGUCAUUAUGAGACGUUUAAGCGUCUCACACGUAGGCUCCGACACUGAAAGGGCCAGCUGCUGCUGUCCACCCAGUUAGAUGCCAAAGACGAGCUGGAAGAGGUGGGCUGACUCGGCUUAACGGCACAGAUCUCACCAGUAACCUGGAUAAACCCAGCCAGGCUGCUUACAGCUUCCAGCAGUCUGUGUUUUAAAAAAACCCGCAGAAGCGACACAACGGAAAAGUUUACCAGCCUGCACGACGUAGCAGCUAGUUGGCAUGGCUAGCAUCGUUAGCAUAGCAUAGCCAUGCUGUGUGUAGCUGCGGCGUAGCACAAGGAAUGUGUCACACAGUUGUCUUGAAUGUGGUGCCGCUACACUCACAUUCAUGGGCUCUCAUUAUUUUCUAUUCAGGAGUGGCUGAGUCACGUACACCGACCUAGUGGUAAAAUUCGGUAUUACCGGUCCGGUUCAGUAUUAUAGCUUACUAUCAAACUAGUUUGAAAAUUUUUUACAUUGGCCCAACCCUUCUUAUUCUUGCCAACCGAUGACAAAAUCCAUACCACUCUCAUGCUAGCAUGCUAAAUAUGAAGCUGGAGCUAGCAGACUGUUAGCAUAGCUUAGCAUAAAGACUGGAAGCAAGGGGAAACAGCUACCCCUGCUCUGUCUAAAGGUAAAAGAAAAACCUGCCCACCAGCACAUCUAAAUCUCACCAAUUAACACAUUAUAUCUUGUCUGUUUAAUCCAUAUAAAAACCGAAGUGUAAAAAUGACAAGUUGCAGUUUUAUGGGGUCUAAGUGCUGGUUUAUUUCUUGACUUCCUCGAGUCUUGUUUUCACUGUGAGGGAAGUCAGUGCACACGGCCAAGAUAUAGUCCCGCACAUAAUCCCCCCAUACAACCACAAAUUGUAAUUUUUGCUUUAAGAUUUUAGCUUUAGAUGUGCUGGUGGGCAGACUUUUUCUUUUACCUUUAGACAGAGCCAGGCUAGCUGUUUCUCCCUGCUUCCAGUCGUUAUGCUAAGCUAAGCUAACCAGCUGUAGCUUCAUAUUUACAGAGAGAGGUAUCGAUCUUCGAAUCUAAAUCUUGGCUAAAAAGUAUAUUUCCCACACCAUUACUUUAAAUUUGAAUAUUUACUGUUAUACUUGUAGAACUGUCCCCAAAUUUCAGCAUACAUAAUUUAGGACUGUACUUGUCUGCUAUGCAAAAUUUGGCAAUGUUUGUUCAUCGGACGAUAGUUAUGAGGAAAGACAGGAAGAACGAAGCAGCAGGCAAUCAGCCAUUUGGGCACAGUCAUCUAAUGAAAUGUUUUGCAGUUACAACACUUGACUGAGCCAGCCAAAGUCUGACUGUAAACUGUCAAUUAGCAGUGAUCCACAGUCAAAUGUGCAUAUUGGAUAGCCCUGGGGGUUUAUUAACCCUUGACCUUGCACUAAUUGGCUGGCUUAGGAAAUUCCACAAACGGAUUGAGCCUUUUAUGCUCUUCACUAAGCCCCAGUAUGGAGCUUUUCUUUCUGUGCAUUGUAUUCUCUGGUGUUUAUCUGUCUCUUUUCUCUUUGACUUCCUCCAAAACACACCGUUUCAUGUGACUGGUGGGCGUCAGGACCACGGCUGUACUAGAGCUAUCCCUGUGUAAACCAGCCCUCAGACAACACAGGCCAAGGGACCCAUUGUAUGGAAUUCCACGUCACUCUCCCAAGAAUGUGCCCCCGUGUCUGUCGAGGAAACCCAAAAGGGCUGAGUCAGAGAUCCCAUCUCUUCCGGAGGCAGGGCCAGCGGUGUUCUCCUUUGAAAGGAAGCAUGGAAAGAUCAACGGGCAUCUCCUGAGGGAGCCGCUAGGCUAUACUAUGCUGCUGCCCCAUGGUCAAACAGCCCUGGGGCCUGUAGUCUGCUGCUGUUGCUGCUGCUGCUGCUGCUGCUGCUGCUGCCGAGCUAGUCUGUGUUGUUUACUUUUAGAGGACUUUCAACCCUGCACAGCCAUCAAGAUCUCUGUAUGCUCCCUCUUUCUCUGCUCUGUCUGUCUCUAUCUCUUUCCCCCUUUUUCCAGCUUUUGAUCACCUAUCCCAUUCUGCAACUCUAUGACUAACAUCACUAACCCUCCCUUUCCAUCACUCUCACAGAUAAUAACUGUAAAGCUUGUCAUUUGCAUCCCUUUGUGCGAACGUGGUUGUUGAUGUGACCCUCACCUCGGCACACAUCUAUCCAGAUGAGAGCGCAGGGAGGAUUUCUGCAAUGUUGUGUUUAUAUUUCCUCCCUCGCUGCACCAUGGAUACCAGUCAGACAGUGCCAAGGUAGGACCACCUCAUAAAUUCAGCAAGCUAUAAAUAUUUGCUCAUGUUUUGAGUUCAACACUAGUUUGCAUUUACAUAUCUAAAGGUGGUUUUGUGAUUUAUCCACUUGGAAGCUCAAGGACUUGUGCCCGGUGGUCUUUUUUUGUCAAAUUGGUUUUUACAUACCAACCAGCAGCAAAUGAGCACACACCAAAUGUUUCCAUUUCACUACUGACACUAAAAAACGAAAAAAUAAAGAGUUUGUGGCUGCAUCUUUCCAAUCAAAUGUCAAAAAAAUUAUUGAUCAUCUGCUAAAGAAAGAGAAAGAAAUGCAAUAACAACGCUCAUCUCGAAACCGUUGAUGUGGCUGUUGUGCAGUGUGGCGCAUUCCUCAACACUCAAUAAACUCAGUUAAAUCAAUAUGUCAAAGAGCAGACAGAUAACGCUAAGCCCAGACAUAAAUCGUAACCAUCUCCAAAAUCUUUUCAUGUGGUAUUACUCAUAGGCCAUAUUCGCUUAAGUACAGUAAACAUUGUGACAGGUACUUUGAGCUGCUGGUUCAAGAGGACACAGGAAAGUGGAUUGUGCUUUGAGCCUUUGUGGGGCCGGCAGAAAAGAAAAACUCUUAAGUAGAAAAAGCUGUCAGAAAGAGUAAAGGCUUGCUUUAAUGAAACAUAAGCAGAAGCAAACCACCCAGAAAAAGCAUCAUUUUUUUUCUUGAUUCGAGAUGCAGUAUUUUGAUUAUUUGAUUUUUUUUUUUUCCUUCAUGUUCUUCCCUCACAGCCAUUAAAACAUCUGAGGACACAAAGUGAUUCAGUCUUUGUUCGGCCAGAAGAAUGGGGAGGUAAGGCUGUGAUUGCCACAUGCAGAAAUAUGCCUGAGUAAUAUUACCAUUAUGCAAGAUCAUCAGUUCUUACCACAACCUCAAACAUACUGAUGUUCUUUCUUUAAAACACAGGGUAACUGUAAAUUCAUUUGCAUCACCAGGACAAUUUAUUGGACUGCAUUUAAAUAAAAAUAAUUUCUUAUAAUGUUUCAGGAAAAAAAACAAACAAUAAAAGUAUUCAAACAAAACAAU